rnacentral:lncRNA from 1 species
GCACUUGUUUGAUUGCAUCAAGAAGAGGUACAUUAAUUUUUACUUGCUUAAAAAGCUCAAGAAUUUCAGAGUUUGGUUCAAGCUUUUGCAAGGGCUUUAAUCUUUGUGGAAAAGGUGCAGGAAAAGGACAUUUAAUUUUUUCAGUUGAUGUUGGUGCUUCGGUUUCUUCGGUAUCCUUUUCUUUUGUCUUGGGAGGGUCAAAAUCAGGUAUGACUUGUGUUUGUUCUGGGACUGGUUGGUCAAUAACCUUUCCACUUCGCAAAGUUAUUAUACUCUUCGCUUAUUCUUUAUGCGAAGUUGAAGAUGAUGCAUUGCUACCACCGUAGACUUGAGGGUUAGGUUGUGGUUGAGCUGGUAGCUUACCCUUCUCUUGAGCACUUAAAGCAGUGGUCAGCAUUGUCAGUUGAUUUCUUAUUUCAUCAUUGAUUUUAGCUUGACCUUGCAUGAAAGAUUGCAAAGUUUCUUCGAGACUGGGUUUUUGAGGGGGUGUGGGUGCAUAAUGAGGUUGCGGAG